GACGAACGCUGGCGGCGUGCUUAACACAUGCAAGUCGAACGGAAAGACCCUGAUCUUGCGGGGUGCUCGAGUGGCGAACGGGUGAGUAAAACGCGAGUAACCUCCCCUUGACAUAGGGAUAUCUUCUGGAAACUGGGGCUAAUACCGGAGAGGAGAUCCUGCUGCGUGGGGGGGGUUGGAAAGAUUCGGCCGUGGUGGCUGGACUCGCGGCUUAUGAGCUUCAUGGUGGGGUAGGGGCUGACCAAGUCUGCGACGGGUAGCCGGCCUGGGCGGCUGACCGGCCACCUUGGGACUGCGAUACGGCCCAGUCUCCUACGUGACGCAGCAGUGGGGAAUAUUGCGGAACGGGCGGGCGCGUGAUGCAGCGGCGCCGCGUGCGGGAUGACGGCCUUCGGGUUGUAAACCGCUUUCGCCGGUGACGAAGCGUGAGUGACGGUAAUGGGUAAAGAAGCACCGGCUAACUACGUG
rnacentral:rRNA from 1 species